rnacentral:rRNA from 1 species
CGUUGUCCGGAUUAUUGGGCGUAAAGAGCUUGUAGGCGGUUUGUCGCGUCUGCUGUGAAAGGCCGGGGCUUAACUCCGUGUAUUGCAGUGGGUACGGGCAGACUAGAGUGCAGUAGGGGAGACUGGAAUUCCUGGUGUAGCGGUGGAAUGCGCGGAUAUCAGGAGGAACACCGAUGGCGAAGGCAGGUCUCUGGGCUGUAACUGACGCUGAGAAGCGAAAGCAUGGGGAGCGAACAGGAUUAGAUACCCUGGUAGUCCAUGCCGUAAACGUUGGGCACUAGGUGUGGGGGACAUUCCACGUUUUCCGCGCCGUAGCUAACGCAUUAAGUGCCCCGCCUGGGGAGUACGGCCGCAAGGCUAAAACUCAAAGAAAUUGACGGGGGCCCGCACAAGCGGCGGAGCAUGCGGAUUAAUUCGAUGCAACGCGAAGAACCUUACCAAGGCUUGACAUAUACUGGACCGCAUCAGAGAUGGUGUUUCCCUUCGGGGCUGGUAUACAGGUGGUGCAUGGUUGUCGUCAGCUCGUGUCGUGAG